AAGGAGAGAAGGAAAGGAUUCUGCAUGGGAAUUCUCAAGACACGGGCCUCCCAAACUUUUAGAGCUUCAUCUUAACAACACUACUGAAGUAUUUGUUACUCAUACCCACAUCUUUCAAAUGAGGAAACUGGGGCACAGAUUGCUCAGGUAACUGGCUUAGAGUCACAGAGCUGGUGAUGGCUGAGUCCAGAUUACCACUGAGGUGGUCUGACUCCAAACCUACAGC
rnacentral:lncRNA from 1 species